rnacentral:misc_RNA from 1 species
AACCAUUCUCACCUGCGGCUAGACCUGCGGAAGGAUCAUUACAGAGUUGCAAAACUCCCUAAACCAUUGUGAACGUUACCUAAACCGUUGCUUCGGCGGGCGGCCCGGGUCCUUCCCGGCGCCCAUCGGCCCUCGCGGGCGCCCGCCGGAGGUAAACCAAACUAUUGCAUUGUAUGGCCUCUCUGAGUCUUCUGUACUGGAUAAGUCAAAACUUUUAACAAUGGAUCUCAGAUCGGAAGA